rnacentral:rRNA from 1 species
ACUUACCUAUCAGAGGGGGAUAGCCCGGCGAAAGUCGGAUUAAUACCCCAUAAAACAGGGGUCCCGCAUGGGAAUAUUUGUUAAAGAUUCAUCGCUGAUAGAUAGGCAUGCGUUCCAUUAGGCAGUUGGCGGGGUAACGGCCCACCAAACCGACGAUGGAUAGGGGUUCUGAGAGGAAGGUCCCCCACAUUGGUACUGAGACACGGACCAAACUCCUACGGGAGGCAGCAGUGAGGAAUAUUGGUCAAUGGCCGAGAGGCUGAACCAGCCAAGUCGCGUGAAGGAAGAAGGAUCUAUGGUUUGUAAACUUCUUUUAUAGGGGAAUAAAGUGGAGGACGUGUCCUUUUUUGUAUGUACCCUAUGAAUAAGCAUCGGCUAACUCCGUGCCAGCAGCCGCGGUAAUACGGAGGAUGCGAGCGUUAUCCGGAUUUAUUGGGUUUAAAGGGUGCGUAGGUGGUGAUUUAAGUCAGCGGUGAAAGUUUGUGGCUCAACCAUAAAAUUGCCGUUGAAACUGGGUUACUUGAGUGUGUUUGAGGUAGGCGGAAUGCGUGGUGUAGCGGUGAAAUGCAUAGAUAUCACGCAGAACUCCGAUUGCGAAGGCAGCUUACUAAACCAUAACUGACACUGAAGCACGAAAGCGUGGGGAUCAAACAGGAUUAGAUACCC